rnacentral:rRNA from 1 species
AUUGAACGCUGGCGGCAGGCUUAGCACAUGCAAGUCGAGCGGUAGCACAGGGGAGCUUGCUCCCUGGGUGACGAGCGGCGGACGGGUGAGUAAUGUCUGGGAAACUGCCUGAUGGAGGGGGAUAACUACUGGAAACGGUAGCUAAUACCGCAUAACGUCGCAAGACCAAAGAGGGGGACCUUCGGGCCUCUUGCCAUCAGAUGUGCCCAGAUGGGAUUAGCUAGUAGGUGGGGUAAUGGCUCACCUAGGGGACGAUCCCUAGCUGGUCUGAGAGGAUGACGAGCCACAGUGGAACUGGGACACGGUCCAGACUCCGACGGAAGGCAGCGGUGGGGAAUAUUGCAGAGUGGGCGCAAGCCUGAUGCAGCCAUGCCGCGUGUGUGAAGAAGGCCUUCGGGUUGUAAAGCACUUUCAGCGAGGAGGAAGGUGGUGAGCUUAAUACGUUCAUCAAUUGACGUUACUCGCAGAAGAAGCACCGGCUAACUCCGUG